AAGUUGGAGUGCUAGACUGCCAAAAAAACCAAAAAAACCUUUGAAGUCAAUAACCUCAAUCUCUUUGAUCUUGCAUACCGACAUCCUACCCCUUCUACUGUAUUUGAUACUUCUCUCUCUCUCUCUCUCUCUCUCUCUGCAACUAUUGAUCAAUUUUGCUUCUCUGCAUUUUCUAACCAAGUUUUGACUUUGACCUUUUGAGGCUGUUUGAGUUGGUUGUUAUGAUUAUCGGCUUCCAAAAUCCAAACGUAAAAGGAUGAAUCAGAAUAAGCAAGUAGCCUCAUUGACCACGACGCGUUUGUCACCACUGGCUAAACCCUUCACGCUUAACCGCUCUUCGCACCAACCCGGUUCGAUGCUCUCAACUCAUGAACCUUGUGUCUAUUCCUUGCAACACUGUAACCAUGAUGACCCUUUUAGUUCUUUGCUUGAUUCUUUUCGAAAAACUAACCUCGCUUCUAAGGGUGACUAUGGGUUUGGCCAGGACACUCUCACAACAACUUUACCAGUUGAAACUGCUACUCAGGCCCAGGAAAAAACCCUUCUUGAACAGCACCCUUCUCUGGAUUUGCCAAAAAAUGGUAAUGGGAGUGAGGUGAGUUAUGGUCAGCAAGGAGUGGAUUUUCACAAGAGUUUGUUUGGCAAAGGAAAUGAUGUUGGCAGUUCAGCUGCUGAUGCCAGCAUUUUUCACAAAGGUAAGCAUUCUGUUGAUGGGUUGAAUCCCUGUCUAAGAGUGUCUCAUGGUAUUUUCAAUAAAAGCACUUCUACGAUUGUGGCAAAAGACAUUCUACCGAAUUCUAAAGGCUCAAUACACACAGCUGAUGAAUCUAGCUCCUUUCAUAUUUCUAAUUGUAAGGUUGCCCCAGUCAAGUUAUCAACAACUGAUAUGUCCUCUGCUAAAACCACUCCUCAAAAUCAGUCUUCUAAGAAUUUAGGUGACAAUGGCUCUGAGGUGGAUUCUCCUUGUUGGAAGGGAACCAUGGCUUUUUGUCCAACUCCAGAAGAAAGUUCAGGGUCUGCACAAUUUCAUCAUGUUGAGAAAGCAACAGAAAAACAUAACAGUUUAAAUCCUCGGGCUCCUCAAUUUUUUCCUGGUGUUGGAUACAUUAAAGAUGAUUUUGUGUCUUCCAACUCUAGUGUGCCUGUAGCUACUGAUUUGUUGUCAGGAGAGGACACAUUCAUGAAAACUGUUAUGGAAAAAUCCCCAGUAGAAUUGAAUAUGGGAAUUGAACUUCGGCAUUCUAGUAACAUCUGUGGAAGAGAAAUGGCAUUUAAUAUGCUUAAUGAUCCACAAAAUAGCUCUGUGGAUCCUGUGCUAAAUUCACUAUGUAUGACGACUCAAUCUUCUUCUAAAGAAGAUUGCUUGACGUCAAAAGGGAAGCUUGUAACUAUCGUUGAUGUUGAUGACUUUGUAAAGGGAACUAAAGAUCCCAGGUCUAGUAGGUCAAUCAGUGAGGUUUUCCCUGCCAAGGGUCAUUCUCCAACUCCAACUUCGACAACAUUAUCAACCCAAGUUAGUGUUGUUACUGAUCUUCUUAAAACAUUUGAAGGUGUUUCUAAGUCUUUGAUUGAAUCACCAAAACCUGAUGUUGAUGUAAUGGUCAGAGCAAUACAUGUUCUUUCAGAAUUACUUGUACAAACUGGUGUGGACGGAGUAGAUUCAUGUAAUGAACAUGAUCAUAUUAUUAUGAUCCAGAAAAUAAUCAAUAAUCUGAAUGUUUUUAGCACAAAAAAAUGUGGCCAAAGGAUUCCAACCCUUGAUUCAACUCCUGCAGAUAGUCCAUUUUGUCUUGACAGGUCAUUAGAGCAGCGUCCCAAGGUAUGUAUGAAUCUAUGUCUUCGAAGCAAUUUAUGCACGGGACUUGAAAUGACAAGGAUAGAGACCUGUACUGUUCAACACCAGCUUUAUCCGCAGAAUGAGUAUAUGGGGAAAAACAGAGUUUCUAAAGAUUUUGGUGAGAGUGGACAGUCUCCUUUUGCAUCUUGCAGUAAUGAAGGCACUGAGAAAGGCAAUGAAAUUGCUCAGGACAUUCGGAGAAGGCUUGGGAAAAAACUGGAUUUUGAUAAACAAAUGCAUCCAAUGGCUUUCCUGUUUUGGAAUUUAUGGCUUGAUUCUGAAGCAGAACAGUGUUAUACGAAAUAUAAAACUUAUCAUGGCCUAAUGGAAGCUGGGGUGGAUGUAAGUUGCACAAAUGUUGCGGAUUUGUGGUGCAAGAGAACCAACUAGAGGCUGUAAUUAGACAUCGGAGAUAUCAUACAUAAUAUCAACUAAUUCUGCUGCGUAGCUUCCUGCUUUGGAGUUCUUUGGAUGAUUCAGUGACCUAUAUAUGAGUUGUUUAUCGAAAAGACCUAUGCUUGCUCAUUCACAUGGUGUGGUUCAUGUCAUCUUCACUUGUUCUCUCCUAAACUUUCAAGUUACUCUGUUAACCACUUUUGUGAAGAUAUCAUGACGUUGAUGCUACUUAUGUAGUGUACUUCUCUCCUGAACCUUUUUUAUUCAUGUCAUUGUGUCAACUCUUCCUUAGGGAACACUGAACAAGGUCAAGUUA